UACGGAGGGGGCUAGCGUUGUUCGGAAUUACUGGGCGUAAAGCGCACGUAGGCGGCUUUGUAAGUUAGAGGUGAAAGCCCGGGGCUCAACUCCGGAACUUGCCUUUAAGACUGCAUCGCUAGAAUUGUGGAGAGGUAAGUGGAAUUCCGAGUGUAGAGGUGAAAUUCGUAGAUAUUCGGAGGAACACCAGUGGCGAAGGCGGCUCACUGGUCCGGUACUGACGCUGAGGUGCGAAAGCGUGGGGAGCAAACAGG
rnacentral:rRNA from 1 species